GGGACAAACGGAAUAUCAGCAGCCAUAGC
rnacentral:piRNA from 1 species